CCUUUCAGACUGGAAGAGAAGGCAUCAUGGCUAUAGUAAUGAAACUAAGUCGCUAUGAAUACUAAAGCUAAACGGCGACUCUCAGAAGUGUUCUUUUCCUUAGAAAUAUUCUCCACAGGUAAACAAACGUGUUUCUACAGAUGGGCAGUAAAUUAUGGAUCUAUGGACGGAUUAAAAUAGGAAUAUAUUGCCUACAAUAAUGGUGGUGAACUACACACAUAAUGCAACUGCGAUGUUGGUCAGUAGUAUGUGGGUUUAAACUAGUAGGAGGACAUGAUUAAAUGGCCGAAGCCUGUUACUACCUAAAGCCAAUCACUGGAGCAGGGAACGGAUCUGAAGCAGUUCAAGGUGUUCAUUGCAUUAAGAAGCUAGCUCGCAAGAGGCUACGGUAAUGGCGUUCUCGGCCUAACCCUAAAUGGGGGAAGAUGUGUACCUGUAAACAGAAGAUCAUUGCCGCGGACGAAUGCUCGGAGCUUCGUGUUCCUUGGCGCCCGGGAAGUCGCGGUCGGUGGAGAAAACUCCAGGAGCCGGACACGACGUCGGAGCGCUGGUGCUUGGAGACGACGCCGGGGUGUUGGCGCUCGGAGACGAGGUGCGCAGGGAAGACGAAGACGAGAUGGAGGUUGGUGAAGGGGUUACCUUCCCCCCAUUUCUCUUGUUAUUUAAAGGGAAGGAACGGAAAACGAGGCUGUCGAGGCGGAGAUCGAGGCGACAAGUCAGAGAUCGCGAUGAUGGCGCCUAGAUUUUUGGGAUAAGCAAUUAUGGGCAAAAGAUCCAUUGACGGUUACAGUGUUGAGGGCCUUGGAACCAAGGGGAUGAGGCGACGCCAUUUAAUACUAUAUGGCGACUCAGGAUAAGUACAAAGGAUGGCGACUUAACAUUUGUCGAAGGUUGGAAAUGAGGAGAGUCGCCCCAAGAUUAUGGGAGUUUAUUGGCACGAAUGAAUUCACGACAAUCUCGGGCCUAAUGU
rnacentral:lncRNA from 1 species